UACGGAGGGUGCAAGCGUUAUCCGGAUUCACUGGGUUUAAAGGGUGCGUAGGUGGGUUGGUAAGUCAGUGGUGAAAUCUCCGAGCUUAACUUGGAAACUGCCAUUGAUACUAUCAGUCUUGAAUAUUGUGGAGGUCAGCGGAAUAUGUCAUGUAGCGGUGAAAUGCUUAGAUAUGACAUAGAACACCAAUUGCGAAGGCAGCUUACUACACAAAUAUUGACGCUGAGGCACGAAAGCGUGGGGAUCAAACAGG
rnacentral:rRNA from 1 species